rnacentral:misc_RNA from 1 species
CUGCCCUCAAGCACGGCUUGUGUGUUGGGCCCCCGCCCCCCGGCUCCCGGGGGGCGGGCCCGAAAGGCAGCGGCGGCACCGCGUCCGGUCCUCGAGCGUAUGGGGCUUCGUCACCCGCUCCGUAGGCCCGGCCGGCGCCCGCCGGCGACCCCCCUCAAUCUUUCCA